rnacentral:tRNA from 1 species
GGAGUGGCAGAGCACCCGGUUUGCAUCCGGGAGAUGAGAGUUCGAUUCUCUCUGAGUCCA